CAAUAGCGUAUAUUAAAGUUGUUGCAGUUAAAAGCUCGUAGUUGGAUCUCAGGUUCCGGCUUGCGGUCCGCUUCACGGCGGUACUGCUCGUCCUGACCUAGCCGCCGGUUGUCCCGCUAUCCUCUUCGCUGAGUGUAGCGGGUGGCCGGAACGUUUACUUUGAAAAAUUAGAGUGUUCAAAGCAGGCCGUUUGCCUGAAUAAUGGUGCAUGGAAUAAUGGAAUAGGACCUCGGUUCUAUUUUGUUGGUUUUCGGAAGUUGAGGUAAUGAUUAAGAGGGACAGACGGGGGCAUUCGUAUUACGGUGUUAGAGGUGAAAUUCUUGGAUCGCCGUAAGACGAACUACUGCGAAAGCAUUUGCCAAGAAUGUUUUCAUUAAUCAAGAACGAAAGUCAGAGGUUCGAAGACGAUUAGAUACCAU
rnacentral:rRNA from 1 species